UUCUGGUUCUCAGAUUUCAGCACCCAAAUGGUUCUACCAGAAUUAGAAAACUGUAUUAGUUAAGCAGGUGGACUAUUGCAAUACUUCCAAAAGGGAUUUGAUAGUCCUAAGCAAGUCUGGAAAUACGAUUACCCUGUGUCAAGCCCAGACUCAGGUGUGUUCAUGCUACAUCUGCGACAAUCAACCAAGGAAAGAAAAAAAAGAACCCAUAUAGGUGUGCAUGCUACAUCUGCGACAAUCAACCAAGGAAAGAAAAAAAAGAACCCAUAUGGAAAAGGUCUACGAUAAUUGCAAAGCAGAAGAACCCCGGUAUCCACAUCUUCUAGCAAGGAAUGCCAGAGGCAAAAACUUCUUGU
rnacentral:lncRNA from 1 species